UUCAAGGAUUAGGGGGAGAGCAAGGAAUUCACAGCCAGCAGAGCUUUUCUGUUUGGAUGGAAAGCUGCCAUCUCCUCCGCUAUAUCCCUGUCUGGAAUAUCUGUCCAGGCAUCCAGCAAGGCUACUUCUGGUCUGAAUGCUGAAGCCAAUGGCUCAAUCGCCAGAGUGAAAAUGAGAGGGGACAGGGGACAGAGGGAUGGAUCUACUCAGGACAUUAUUGAUGUUCCCCCUCACGACCGCCUUAAAGGCGUCCCAAACGAUAUGUGGUUCCACCUCUCCAGUGUUGUUCUCUUUGAAGUACUGCUCCAACACUCUUUAUAUCUCUUCUCUGUGUUGAACUCUUAAUAAAAGAGAAUUAUUUAGU